GAUGAACGCUAGCGGCAGGCCUAAUACAUGCAAGCCGGACGGCAAGUUGAGUAGCAAUACUUGACCUAGAGUGGCGUAAGGGUGCGUAACACGUAUGCAAUCUGCCCACAGCCGGGAGAUAGCCCUCCGAAAGGAGGAUUAAUAUCCCAUAGGAAGAUGAGAUGGCAUCAUUUUAUUUUUAAACUACGGGGCUGUGGAUGAGCAUGCGGUUGAUUAGCUAGUUGGCGGGGUAAAGGCCCACCAAGGCGAUGAUCAAUAGGGGACCUGAGAGGGUGAUCCCCCACACUGGCACUGAGAUACGGGCCAGACUCCUACGGGAGGCAGCAGUAGGGAAUAGUUGGACAAUGGGUGU
rnacentral:rRNA from 1 species